rnacentral:rRNA from 1 species
UACGAAGGGGGCGAGCGUUGUUCGGAAUCACUGGGCGUAAAGGGCGCGUAGGCGGCUCUGUUUGUCGCGUGUGAAAGCCCCGGGCUCAACCUGGGAGGUGCGCGCGAGACGGCGGGGCUGGAGUUCGGGAGAGGAGCGUGGAAUUCCCAGUGUAGCGGUGAAAUGCGCAGAUAUCGGGAAGAACACCCGUGGCGAAGGCGGCUCUCUGGGACGGUACUGACGCUGAGACGCGAAAGCGUGGGGAGCGAACAGG